ACUUCAGGUAACUCCAGAGAUGCCCUUGACACUGACAGGAAGUAUGCUUGCUGGACUGUUUCUCUUCAUACCAGGUCUUCUGGCUGUGAACGAGAUUGGGUCUGCUGGAUGGUCAGGAUUUCUCCCUAAGGAUUAGCCCUCUAAAUCCCUGACCCUCACUCUGCGGUGAGAUAGCCAAGAUGAAAGGGGAGUAUAAGCCAAUUUGGGAGAAAGAAAUUGGUUUCAACUGUGUGUUGUUAUUUUCUUUGACAUUUGUUUUAGAAAUCUGUAUUAAGAAUAUUGGUAGUAGUAAUAAUUUGUCAUACAGUAAAUAGUUUGUCUGGAUUUCCUGAAUCAGGUAGUAGUAAUAAUUUGUUAUACAGUAAAUAACUUGUUUGGAUUUCCUGAACCAGAAAUGCCCUAAACUAAACUGUUGUUCUGGUCUGUCCUCUCUCGAGGUUAUGGCGAAGGUGACCACAGAUGGUAUGUAGAUGCAUGGAAGGGAUAAUUUGACCAAGAACAGUGUGAACCUCAACCCCCCCUAACUGGCUGAAGCAAUGGCGACAAUGGCGUUCAAUAUGGUCCUUCACCACUUCUACCGUGAGACCUGAGUCCGAGCCAGCAACCUGUACACAGCAUCCAGUCGAAGCUAUCAACUGCCUUUUGUCUCAUGCCUUUUCUCUCAGGAGUGCGACAUGAGUCCACGUGGAGUGAGCAUGGAGAGAGAUCCUGUCCAAACUUGCUGGUUUACUGGUAGGAAAAUGGAAAAUACAUAAUGGGCUGUAAAGGACAGUGGCGGCUCAGGUGAGAGACAUUAUCAAGGGCCAUCCACUUUGAACAUGUGCCAUUGGGAGGACGAACUGAAACACUAUCUGAAGAAGAACAUGAAGAAACGCCAGAAGGAUGAGUGCUGGGAGGGAAGGGGGUGGCCAACCGUGCCCGUAAUUGAAUUAGGCUUAUCCAAAAUUGUUUAUUUGGGGUAUCAGGUUGAUUGUGGAGGUCUGCACAUUGCAAAAUGUAUAGUAAUUUAGAAUAACAAUGCAUUGAGAUACCAAUGUGUCAGUACCACAAAAGGGCGCCGUGAUGAGAAAAGUUAAUGCUAGAAAAAUAAGCUGGAAUAUACUGUAUGUCAAUGUAAAUGUACAUUCUGCCAGUAUUGGUGUGUGCUAAGUUGAGGGUCUUAAAUUAAAGUGAUAGAACCAA